rnacentral:lncRNA from 1 species
ACCGAACAUCUAAUAAAAUGCCCUACAGGCAAGAGCAUGAGGCUUCGCGGAGUUCUCCGACGUACUGGAACACCCUCAGACCCUGGACUCACAGCCUCAGCCUGAGUCCCUGGCUGGCUUACAAGGCUGAGCUCUAGGUAACAUUUCAGCGAAGCCCUGCCCUAACCACCCACCAUCACCACUCAGCAAACACUGGUUCAUUACAACGGCAGCCCACGCUCCUUGGGGUCGUCUGAGUUUCACCUCAUUCUUCCCUUCAGUCUUCACCACGUCUCUCUGAGAUCAGCACCAUCAGCCCCACUUUGCAUUAAAGAAAACUGGACAUCAAAAGUUGUUUGGUUCUUGUUUUUAGGGUUGUGCUCAACAUGAUGGGA